rnacentral:rRNA from 1 species
CUGAUCCAGCCAUGCCGCGUGUGUGAAGAAGGCCUUAUGGUUGUAAAGCACUUUAAGCGAGGAGGAGGCUACUCUAGUUAAUACCUAGAGAUAGUGGACGUUACUCGCAGAAUAAGCACCGGCUAACUCUGUGCCAGCAGCCGCGGUAAUACAGAGGGUGCGAGCGUUAAUCGGAUUUACUGGGCGUAAAGCGUGCGUAGGCGGCUGAUUAAGUCGGAUGUGAAAUCCCUGAGCUUAACUUAGGAAUUGCAUUCGAUACUGGUCAGCUAGAGUAUGGGAGAGGAUGGUAGAAUUCCAGGUGUAGCGGUGAAAUGCGUAGAGAUCUGGAGGAAUACCGAUGGCGAAGGCAGCCAUCUGGCCUAAUACUGACGCUGAGGUACGAAAGCAUGGGGAGCAAACAGGAUUAGAUACCCUGGUAGUCCAUGCCGUAAACGAUGUCUACUAGCCGUUGGGGCCUUUGAGGCUUUAGUGGCGCAGCUAACGCGAUAAGUAGACCGCCUGGGGAGUACGGUCGCAAGACUAAAACUCAAAUGAAUUGACGGGGGCCCGCACAAGCGGUGGAGCAUGUGGUUUAAUUCGAUGCAACGCGAAGAACCUUACCUGGCCUUGACAUANUAANAACUUUCCAGANAUGGGAUUGGUGCCUUCGGGNAACUUACAUACAGGUGCUGCAUGGCUGUCGUCNGCUCGUGUCGUGAAAUGUUGGGUUAA